rnacentral:rRNA from 1 species
GACAGAGGGUGCAAACGUUGUUCGGAAUUACUGGGCGUAAAGCGCGUGUAGGCGGCCCUGUAAGUCGGGUGUGAAAUCCCACGGCUCAACCGUGGAAGUGCAUUCGAAACUACAGGGCUAGAGUUCUGGAGAGGAAGGUGGAAUGCUUGGUGUAGAGGUGAAAUUCGUAGAUAUCAAGCGGAACACCGGUGGCGAAGGCGGCCUUCUGGACAGUAACUGACGCUGAGACGCGAAAGCGUGGGAGCAAACAGG